rnacentral:rRNA from 1 species
AUGCUCGGGCUCGACACUUCCGCUUGGCCCUUGUUUGAAACGGUUGAAGAUUGGUGGGCAAGCACUUGCGUCGAAGGAACGCCAGAUCGUCAAGCCAAGGCCUCCAUCACCAUGCUUGUCUCUUGGAUAGUCUGGAACGAGCAGAACGCAAGGGUUUUUAAGCAUAAGAGUGCCCCACCGCCAAUCUUGCUUUCGUCCAUCUCCACCGAGGCAAACCUUUGGGUCAAUGCCGGAGCUAAGAAAUUAGGGUCUUUUAUUGCGCGCGAGUAA